AUGCAACUAACCUGUGAUUUCCUCCUCGCAGCUUACACCCGUGAACAGUCAACUGUACCACACAUUAGGACACCUGUGACCACACACAAGACCAGCACAGCCACCUCCAUCAGCAGCACCUCCAAGACCUCUGUCUCCACAGGGCCCAGCCCAGCAAGCAGCACAGGAGCCCCUCUGGAAACAACCUCUGCCCAUGCCAGCUCUCCACCUGCCCCCAGCAGCCCGCUCAGCACAAGGCUGCCAUCCACUGCCACCACUUCCACUGGCUCCUCCACAGCAGCUGCCAGCACCAGCCCCAGGCCUACACCUACAACCCUGAGGCCCAGGCCCUCUUCCCCAGCAACCCAAGCUGCAAAGGAGUCUCCUGUAACAGAGUCCUCUGCACCCACCACAGCUAAAACCAGCACGCUGCCACAACCUGCUUCUUCUCCCUCCUCAACUGUGUCCUCAACAUGGCUCAGCUCCUCACAGCCUGUAUCCACCCACAAAGUGCCACAUGCUGAGACAGCUGUAACCACAGAGAAGACCACGGCCACCACCUCCAUCAGCAGCACCUCCAAGACCUCUGUCUCCACAGGGCCCAGCCCAGCAAGCAGCACAGGAGCCCCUCUGGAAACAACCUCUGCCCAUGCCAGCUCUCCACCUGCCCCCAGCAGCCCGCUCAGCACAAGGCUGCCAUCCACUGCCACCACUUCCACUGGCUCCUCCACAGCAGCUGCCAGCACCAGCCCCAGGCCUACACCUACAACCCUGAGGCCCAGGCCCUCUUCCCCAGCAACCCAAGCUGCAAAGGAGUCUCCUGUAACAGAGUCCUCUGCACCCACCACAGCCAAAACCAGCACUCUGCCACAACCUGCUUCUUCUCCCUCCUCAACUGUGUCCUCAACAUGGCUCAGCUCCUCACAGCCUGCCUUCACCCAUGAAGAGUCAGCUGUGCCACACACUGGGACACCUGUGACCACACACAAGACCAGCACAGCCACCUCCAUCAGCAGCACCUCCAAGACCUCUGUCUCCACAGGGCCCAGCCCAGCAAGCAGCACAGGAGCCCCUCUGGAAACAACCUCUGCCCAUGCCAGCUCUCCACCUGCCCCCAGCAGCCCGCUCAGCACAAGGCUGCCAUCCACUGCCACCACUUCCACUGGCUCCUCCACAGCAGCUGCCAGCACCAGCCCCAGGCCUACACCUACAACCCUGAGGCCCAGGCCCUCUUCCCCAGCAACCCAAGCUGCAAAGGAGUCUCCUGUAACAGAGUCCUCUGCAUCCACCACAGCCAAAACCAGCACGCUGCCACAACCUGCUUCUUCUCCCUCCUCAACUGUGUCCUCAACAUGGCUCAGCUCCUCACAGCCUGUAUCCACCCACAAAGUGCCACAUGCUGAGACAGCUGUAACCACAGAGAAGACCACGGCCACCACCUCCAUCAGCAGCACCUCCAAGACCUCUGUCUCCACAGGGCCCAGCCCAGCAAGCAGCACAGGAGCCCCUCUGGAAACAACCUCUGCCCAUGCCAGCUCUCCACCUGCCCCCAGCAGCCCGCUCAGCACAAGGCUGCCAUCCACUGCCACCACUUCCACUGGCUCCUCCACAGCAGCUGCCAGCACCAGCCCCAGGCCUACACCUACAACCCUGAGGCCCAGGCCCUCUUCCCCAGCAACCCAAGCUGCAAAGGAGUCUCCUGUAACAGAGUCCUCUGCAUCCACCACAGCCAAAACCAGCACGCUGCCACAACCUGCUUCUUCUCCCUCCUCAACUGUGUCCUCAACAUGGCUCAGCUCCUCACAGCCUGGUAAGGCUCCCUCCCAAUUUUUCUGUUCUGCCCAGCUCCUCCUGUCUUCCUUCCCUCCCACCAUCAUUCCCUCCAUGAACCGUGCAGUACUUGUGGAUCUUUGCUUGCCCCACCAUUCCCAUUGCCUUUACUUGGCCCCGUUCCCCAGUGUAUUCCUGUGCCUGUGCACUGCCUCUGCUUCAGAUGGAGCUGAUUAUUGUUCCCUGCAGGUUUCCUAGUGCUGUUUCAGAUGUGAGUGCCAGCCACUGGUGAUGACACACGAGUGCUUUGGUGAUCUCUCUGGAGUGCCAGCUCAGCUCCUCAGCCUCCUCUGUUUGUGCAUCGGGCAGCCAGCGAGUGGGCAUGGGGUGGCCAUGGGUCCAUCAGGGACACAGCCAGCAUAGCUGGCCCUAAGCCAGUGGCCAAGGAGACACUGCCUGACACAGAGCAUCAUGCUGAUCUGUGCAGUG
rnacentral:lncRNA from 1 species